CACACACACACACACACACACACACACGCGCAUCAGGGUUACAGCACUGUGUCGCACUUUAACAUAGUCCACUACGACUGUCACCUCGCAGCCGUCAGGUUAGUACGCGCACACACACACACACACACACACACACACACACACACACACACGCGCAUCAGGGUUACAGCACUGUGUCGCACUUUAACAUAGUCCACUACGACUGUCACCUCGCAGCCGUCAGGUUAGUACGCGCGCACACACACACACACACGCGCAUCAGGGUUACAGCACUGUGUCGCACUUUAACAUAGUCCACUACGACUGUCACCUCGCAGCCGUCAGGUUAGUACGCGCACACACACACACACACACACACACACACACACACACACACACACACACACGCGCAUCAGGGAUACAGCACUGUGUCGCACUUUAACAUAGUCCACUACGACUGUCACCUCGCAGCCGUCAGGUUAGUACGCGCACACACACACACACACACACACACACGCGCAUCAGGGUUACAGCACUGUGUCGCACUUUAACAUAGUCCACUACGACUGUCACCUCGCAGCCGUCAGGUUAGUACGCGCACACACACACACACACACACACACACACACACACACACACACACACACACACACACACACACACACGCGCAUCAGGGUUACAGCACUGUGUCGCACUUUAACAUAGUCCACUACGACUGUCACCUCGCAGCCGUCAGGUUAGUACGCGCACACACACACACACACACACACACACACACACACACACACACACACACGCGCAUCAGGGAUACAGCACUGUGUCGCACUUUAACAUAGUCCACUACGACUGUCACCUCGCAGCCGUCAGGUUAGUACGCGCACACACACACACACACACACACACACACACACACACACACACACACACACACACACACACACACACGCGCAUCAGGGUUACAGCACUGUGUCGCACUUUAACAUAGUCCACUACGACUGUCACCUCGCAGCCGUCAGGUUAGUACGCGCACACACACACACACACACACACACACACACACACACACACACACACACACACACACACACGCGCAUCAGGGUUACAGCACUGUGUCGCACUUUAACAUAGUCCACUACGACUGUCACCUCGCAGCCGUCAGGUUAGUACGCGCACACACACACACACACGCGCAUCAGGGUUACAGCACUGUGUCGCACUUUAACAUAGUCCACUACGACUGUCACCUCGCAGCCGUCAGGUUAGUACGCGCACACACACACACACACACACACACACACACACACACACACACACACACACACACACGCGCAUCAGGGUUACAGCACUGUGUCGCACUUUAACAUAGUCCACUACGACUGUCACCUCGCAGCCGUCAGGUUAGUACGCGCACGCACACACACACACACACACGCGCGCGCAUCAGGGAUACAGCACUGUGUCGCACUUUAACAUAGUCCACUACGACUGUCACCUCGCAGCCGUCAGGUUAGUACGCGCACACACACACACACACACGCGCAUCAGGGUUACAGCACUGUGUCGCACUUUAACAUAGUCCACUACGACUGUCACCUCGCAGCCGUCAGGUUAGUACGCGCACACACACACACACACACACACACACA